rnacentral:rRNA from 1 species
UACGGGGGGGCAAGCGUUGUUCGGAAUUACUGGGCGUAAAGGGCUCGUAGGCGGCCAACUAAGUCAGACGUGAAAUCCCCUCGGCUUAACCGGGGGAACUGCGUCUGAUACUGGAUGGCUUGAGGUUGGGAGAGGGAUGCGGAAUUCCAGGUGUAGCGGUGAAAUGCGUAGAUAUCUGGAGGAACACCGGUGGCGAAGGCGGCAUCCUGGACCAAUUCUGACGCUGAGGAGCGAAAGCCAGGGGAGCAA